GGUCAGGAAUACAAUAAUGAGGAUUGCGAUUGGGACAAUGGCAAA
rnacentral:ribozyme from 1 species